CCCAAAGUCUUCAAGCAAAAUGACCUGCUCCAACAUCAGUGAUGUCCACAGUGGAGCUAUUUAUGUCAGACACAAAAGAAAAGAGAGGCCUGGUCCAAAACCAUGAACGUGUCUGGUUUACAAGUCCAUGGGACUUCACUUGACACUGGAUGAUGUGACAUUUUGAAUAGCAACAAAAGCACAAUAAAGGGCUAAUUAAAAGUGGUGGGUUUCAGGAUAUGGAAGAUUUUUGUGGCUGUGGCUUCGACAGAGCCUCAACAACCACAAGGAGCAGUUUUACAGAAGCCAUCAAUCUUCACCACAGAAGGAAAGUUUGGAAAUGUUGUAUGCCAUAACUAAUACAAUGCAAUUUUGGCUCUUGAACUUCAGGUGGUAAAAAGGCUUAAACCAGGCCAGGAAUACCGGUUCCCUGUCCGCAGUGCAGCAUGGAACAGUUUCAUUUCAAGAAGCAAACAUGAAACAUUCAUGGCUGUCAAGUGCAAAUAGGCCUAAUUUCAGGUGUUGAUCUCUUUUUUUGGGCACUCUGCUAGGAGAGCAGCAGAUACACUCCCAGUCAGAAAGAAGGUUGUAGAUUUACUAACCCAGCACACCAAGGGAACUGGUUUGCCAAGUCUAACCAACCUGCUCUGCUCUUUGUGCAGCCCGAACACAACCCUCCACAC